rnacentral:rRNA from 1 species
UGCCAGCCGCCGCGGUAAUACGAGGGGUCCAAGCGUUAAUCGGAAUCACUGGGCUUAAAGGGUACGUAGGCGGCCUUGUAAGCAUCUCGUGAAAUCCCACGGCUCAACCGUGGAAUUGCGGGGUGAACUGCAAGGCUUGAGGCAGGUAGAGGUCGUCGGAACGAUCGGUGGAGCGGUGAAAUGCGUUGAUAUCGAUCGGAACGCCGAAGGAGAAGUCAGGCGACUGGGCCUGUCCUGACGCUGAGGUACGAAAGCGUGGGUAGCGAACGGGAUUAGAUA